GACGUAGGUGGCAAGCGUUGUUCGGAAUCACUGGGCAUAAAGCGCACGUAGGCGGCUAAGUAAGUCAGGCGUGAAAUCCCCCGGCUCAACCGGGGAACUGCGCUUGAUACUGCUUGGCUUGAGGUCCGGAGGGGAGAGUGGAAUUCCCGGUGGAGCGGUGAAAUGCGUAGAGAUCGGGAAGAACGCCGGCGGCGAAAGCGACUCUCUGGUCGGAUCCUGACGCUGAGGUGCGAAAGCUAGGGGAGCAAACGGG
rnacentral:rRNA from 1 species